GGCACGUUGCUCUUCCUUUUUGAAGAGCCUCUGUUCUGUGGGGGUUGUUGGUGAGAGAAAGACACAGCGUGCUUGUUCUGGGUCACUUUGUCCUUACGACUUUUUAAAUAAAUUUAAAAAUCACCUUUAUGCUGUACUUGCAGAAAGGAAAGGAGAAACACACUCGGUGCAUGCUCAGAGGCCAUUGAGAGCACCCUGCUAAUUUGGAGGAUGAAAUUAAUGGACUGUGCAGAACUGGACAAACUAACAGGAAGGAUUCGAAAUCGGCGGGACCAGAGAUUCACAGAAGACUGGAGUAAAUUUACGGAUUAUUUGAAAAGUAUUUGUGAAGAUCAGACGAUGUUUGUAGGUUUGCAAGAAGUUUUGUGAGGAGUAUUAUUGGAACUAUUGCAAAAAUGGAUAAGGGGGAGGAUGAUUAGUUAAGAAAUUUAAAGGUAAAAUAAAGUUAAGAAACGCAUAAGAAGUGAUUAAAACGGUGGAUCAUCAGAGGUGCUGAUGGAAGUCCAAAAAGAUUACAUAAGUGAUAAAGUUUUGUGGUACGUAUUAUAAUUUAUAUGUUAAAAUCAAUAAAAAGUAUUAUAAAAAAAAGAGAGCACCCUGCUAAUUUGUGACUUUUGUGACGUCCUGGUCCACCAACGUGGACGGAUGCAGUCCAGACUUUGGGAUGCAUCAAACAGCGACCCCCCCACAACAUCCUGCCCCCCACCCACUCCCCGUUUCAAGCAAGAGCUGCUAUCCUAAGGACUAGAAUCUUGUGUUCUUAUCGCUUGCUAGCCUGCCUGGAGCCCAGAGCCCAAGAGCAAAGCUUUCAGCUGCAGUCAUGAGGACUAGGAUCUUGUUUCCCAGUAUUUGGAGCCGGCCCACAGCCCAGAGCCACUGGUCCAGCCUAUUCAAAGC